CCUUAUGGAUGAGCAAGGAAAGUGGCUUCUUAAGAUGGAAUCUAUUCUUGGUGAAGGUGCUGUGAA
rnacentral:pre_miRNA from 5 species